rnacentral:lncRNA from 1 species
CCCUCCUCCCUCCUCCCUCUCCCUCUCCCGGUCUCCGACUCCUCUCCCUCUCCCGGUCUCCAAGGUUUAGCGUUUUUUCUUCUUUUUUACUUUUGAUUUCGAAUUGAUUUUUAGGCUAUGCUUUAUGUUUUACUGUCCAAUUUCCCAAAUUUAUGUUUAGGAGAUAAAUUAUCCUCAUUUUUUAAACAUAUGCUUUGUUGGUAAUGAACAUGAAGCUUGCACUGUGCACUUGUUAUAUUCCAUGACUAGGUGCUGCAUUCAUCGUGGGCUGGGUACAAAUUUUUAAACAUAAGAUACAAAAUAUAAAAUAUAAAAACCUAUAUCAAAUCCGGAUGAAUAUAUAUAUAUAUAUAUAUUUAAUUGAAUUCAUAUUUUUGAACAAGUAUAAUUUCAAAAAUAUAUAUAUUUCACAUUAUAUUAAGUGUUUAAUGAACAUAAUGAAAAAAUAUUUUUUAUAGAAUAAAGACAAAAUAAGAUUGAAUUUUUACUUUUUCAAUGUUGCCUCAGCUUUGAAUUAACGAGCAACAUUGAAUAACUGUAUCCGCCCAUGCCUCAGCCUUCAUUCAAAUUAAUAUUUUAAACAGGAUGAGCGGCUAUUUUAGAUCGAAGAAGAGUUCAAUGGGCCAAAGGUCCGAAUCGUCUGAGGGAACCUCUCUAGCAACCCUCAAACGUCGUUUCAGGGCCAGAUGAUAGCCAGACGUGCGAGCCUUCUGGAGACGGCGCAGAGGUAGCCGAAGGUGCCCCAUUCAUCGAGGUAGCCGAGCGUCCCUCGUUCCUCGAGGCAGCUAUGGCCUCAGACCCAGACGGAAGUUUCUGCACCCCGUAUGCCUGAGAUACAUGAUGUGCUAGUAUUUUCCUAUAUUUUUACGCCCUUUAAUCUUGAUAUUUGUGUAUAGUUCUCCUUAUUUUUAGUCCAUUUACUUAGUUUAGUGUGUUUGUAGGUUUGAAGAGCAAAGAUAAGGAAAAGAAGCAAAAAGAGAGCAAAAAGGAUUGAAGGUCGUUUGCAGUCCUGACAACUGAGCAGU